AAAUCCGUCCGGGGGGUCUAAGGGAUGUCGGGCCUGCCAUCCGUGGGCCGGUAGCUCAGCCUGGGAGAGCGUCGGCUUUGCAAGCCGAAGGCCCCGGGUUCGAAUCCCGGCCGGUCCACCACGAAGAGGUGCACAUCCCGAGCACCGCUCGGGGUGGAAGGGUCCUAGGCCCCGAACAGGGG
rnacentral:tRNA from 1 species